rnacentral:siRNA from 1 species
CGAGAGUGGUGAUCUUUGGUU